AACCGCGGUUAUACGAGAGGCCCAAAUUGAUGCCUCACGGCGUAAAGUGUGAUUAGAGAUAAAGCCCCCACUAGAACUAAACACCCCCUAUGCUGUCAUACGCCAUGGGGGUCACGAAGCCCAACAACGAAAGUGGUUCUAUAAGCCUUGAACUCACGACAGCCAGGACACAAACUGGGAUUAGAUACCCCACUAUGCCUGGCUUUAAACUAAGGUGAUGAAGGUACUAACUUCGCCCGCCAGGGAACUACGAGCCCUAGCUUAAAACCCAAAGGACUUGGCGGUGCCUCAAACCCACCUAGAGGAGCCUGUCCUAUAACCGAUAAUCCCCGUUAAACCUCACCCCUCCUUGUCAAUACCGCCUAUAUACCGCCGUCGCCAGUUUACCUUUUGAGAGAAAAACAGUAAGCAAAAUGGGCAACCCCCAGUACGUCAGGUCGAGGUGUAGCGAAUGGAGGGGGAAGAGAUGGGCUACAUUUUCUGUCAACAGAAUACUACGAAGAGUACAAUGAAAAAUGUACAGUCGAAGGUGGAUUUAGCAGUAAGAAGAAACAAGAGAGUUCUUUUGAAAAUGGCUCUGAGGCGCGUACACACCGCCCGUCACUCUCCUCGAAAAGCAAAAUGACAGUACAUAAAGCCUGAAGAAGAAAUAGAGAGGAGGCAAGUCGUAA
rnacentral:rRNA from 1 species